CUUGCAGAAAGUGGACUGAUGGCUAUAAUUCUCCCCAAAUUAAAUCACAAUAUGAAUACAGACCCCAGCAAAUGGCGAGUUUAACUCUGAACUCAGUAGAAACCAGUUCUGUCCACCAGGAUUCAUUGAAUUCCUCCUUUCCCUCAAUCUAGUCCGUGUGUGUUUUUCUCUUCCACCACACUGGAGCUCCAUGAAUAGGGAAAGGGGCUUCCAUUGUGUCCCUCUGAACUUCCAAGUCAAUGCAAUUUUUAACCACUGGCUUGUGGUACUUUGAAAAUCACCAGGGGCUGUCAGAGUUGGGUCCUCUGAAAAAUUUACAGUGCUAAAUCAGAGCAUAUGCUGGGAGGGAAAAAAUUGCUUAAGACUGGAGCAAGUACAGUAUCUGUCUGCCCCCUAGUGUAAGAGUCCUCGCUGCCUAAAAUUCAACUUUAAAAGAAAAGGAGCUCUUAAAGGGAAACGACUUUGAGCUCACGUAGGCAUAGGAGAAUGAAACUUCUGUACAUUUUAAUCUGAAUAAUUCUUCAGGAUUUAAAAUUAAUUGGCUCUAGCUUGGUUGGACCGGACUCGGAUCUCGCCACCUCUGCGUUUCCCGAGUCACUGGCGGAGAGGUGAUGGUUUUUUUUUUUUUUUUUUUCCUUGAACUGGGUUUAUGUGCGUCCCCCUCACCCCCUCCUCUCUUUUUCUUUCUCUGUCUCUGUCGUCUCUCUCGCUGGCUUUUUAAAAAUGAGGAACCGUUCCUUGAACGUUCUGGACAGAGCACAGAAUUGCUUCUUAAGUCAGCCCGACGCGGUUGCAAUAGACAGCAAAAAGGUAAACGUUUGCCUGAAAUCCGCACGCCAGCUCCACCACCCCGCCCGAUGGUGCCUGAGUGUAGAGAAAAGCGGAUAGAAAAGCCUGGUUGCUGUUUGCCCUAAAGCUUCAUCAGAUGGGGAACUGAAUGUUUUCUUCCAGACAUCCCCAAUCAGAACUUAUAAGUGAUCGGGCAUCACUGAUCUCAAGCAUGCAGGAGAUAUCAGGAUUUUAAUUUCGACUCCGAGUCCUUGCCAUUGCCAACGAUGAAGUCUACUACUCCUAAUCAUCGAAAAUGCUGUUGUCUGGUGAGCAGAGCCUAGGUUCAAAUCCUUGCUUUCUGCCACACUAAUUGUGUGUCUUGGGUAUGCUGCUUGGCAUCUCUAAACCCCAGUUUUCUCAUCUGUAUCCUGAGGUGUCUAAUAUCUUCUUCGUUGUGAUGCUGUGUGGACAACACCAAAAAAGAUGUGUGAAGCACUCAGCACACCAUAAGAUCUGUUGAAUGAAUGGAUGCAGGUAUCACACUGUAUGAUACGUAGUAGUCACUCAAUAAAAUCUUCCGCUUCCUCCUUUUUCCUCUCUUCUUCCCCACCACAGUCUCGUAAGUUAAUGCUCAUGCAAGCCUAUGUUUAUUAAGAAAAAUACUACCUUUAAAGAAAAUAACUUGAUUAAAUAGCAUUCUAUGAAUGACAAAUGACCACACAUUUAACAGAACACAUUUAAAGCUAUGCUCAUCCUUUGAUUGUUGUUAUAGAGAAGAUAAGAAUGAACUAUUUAAAAGGAAAAUGAAAAAAUAAAAAAAUAAGGAACCAAAUUAGACAUUCAGUCAAGUCUGAUUAAUGGCUACUUCCAAUGGAGAUUUUAGCUGAGUUUAGGAUCCUUGCAUCUCUGACUGUUAAUGUACCGUGGUUAGAGGUGACCAUUUUAAGAAGUCGAAUGCAUAAUUCAUUCAAAGUGCACAGAGAUUUUCUUUCUCAGUUUGGAAAGACCAAAAGUUGGGUACAAUUCUGUUAAUGCUAUAAAACUGGUAUGUUUUGUGAUAAUGAAUUUAGAUAUAGAAAACUAUCUUUCUCUGAAAUAAAUGUAGCUUUCCUGUCAUUUCUUCAUUUUUUUUUUUUCAUUUCUUCAAUAUGAGGACCCUAGUAGGGAGUAGAAUUAAUCAUGUGUUAAAAAAAUUACAUCACCCUAAAAGACUUCCACUCAUUCUACAAAAGGUAGUCCAGGUCAUUUUUAAAAACUAAUGCGUUCUCGAACAGGAAAAAGUGCAAUAGGUUAAUUUGAAAAGUAUGAAUAAUUCAACACAGGAUCAUGCAUUUCUUUUUACAUAUUUCCCCAUAUAAAACUGUUGCUUUAUCAUUGUUAAGUAAACUCCCACUGGUGCAUGUGACUCCUUGAAAGCUCUGAUAGGAGAUGCAAUAUUGUGUUUAGUAGAAUAAAGUAACAACUCAAGUUUAAUAUGUUUGGGAAGAGCACGUGCAGACCCGUGUGAGUGUGUGUGUGUGUGUGUGUGUAGGAACUGACUUUUUCAGUUCACAAAGUAAUCUCUGAUUUGAACUUGCAGUUAAAAAAUGUUGACCAUGGGGGUGCCUGGGUGGCUCUGUGGGUUAAGUGACUUGGUUUUGGCUCAGUUCUUGAUCUCAAGCUUUGUGGGAUCGAGUCCCGGGUAGGGUUCCUUUGUCGGUGGGGAGUCGGCUUGAAGAUUCUCUCCCUCUGCCCAUCCCCGCCCCCCGCUUGUUCUCUCUCUUUCUCUCAAAAUAAAUAAAGAAAGCUUUAAAAAUAAAGAAAAUGUUGACAGUGAAAAACAAUUGAACAGGAUUUGUACAAAGUUCAGGGAAUUUGCAGAGCUUGGGCCUACGAAUUUGGUAGUGAGGUAAUCAAGUCAGCAAAAUACAGGUAAUCAAGUCAGCAAAAAUACAAGAUUUACUCGAAGUUUGGGUAGUAAAUUAAGCUCUUAACAGAAAAGAAAAUUGAUAUGCACAUACUACAAAUAUACACGAGGAACUCCUUAGAUGUUCUUUGUCUUAUCCGAGAUAAUAAGAAAAAUAAUAGAAUUUAGAGCUGCCUUGUGCCUUCCCACUUCACUUCUUUUGCGUGGGGCUGACCAUAGGGCCUCUCAAGUCUGGCUCAUUUUGUGUCGGUGAAUCUUGUUUAAUGGACAUUCUUUUUACAAAACGAGGUAGUCCCCCGGCUGGACCACAGUUCGCCUCAGUUCUAGGGAUCCCUCCACUCAGCCAGGUGUGGCCAAUCAUGGUAUCACAUCAGCCUGCAUGGAAUCGAUUUAGGACAUGGCGUGUUUCCUCGAAAAUGAAAUUCCCCAUGAAAACAGGACCGACAAGGACAUCAGAAAAGCGUUUUGGGAAAAGUGCCAGAAGUUGAGCGAGAGGCAAGGCAGAAUCCUCGGUAUCAGGGAGAAGGGGAAGAGGGUCAGACGGAAAGAGAAGCGAAAGGAAAAGCAGGGCAGGAGGAGAGGCACGGAGGAGAGAAGGGGCCUAAAUUAGAACAAGAGGCUAUGUUUAUUAAUAACCUUGCUGACCCACAGGCCCCUGACACAAAAUACAGUAAGUAUUGUUGGAACACUCUGCUCUGUCACUCCUAGGAGGAGCAAAUAAAAUAGUGGGGGAAGCUACAAACUUUCUGAGAACAGAUUAAAAAAAAAAAAAAAAAGCCACCACAACAGAAAAAAGCCAGAAUAGGGUGAAGGCACAGACUCACCAGCUGGAGCAGCCCUGCAGCCCGGGCUCCCCGUUAUUUUCCUACAGCACCUUCUCGCGUUGGUGGUAUAGUGGUGAGCAUAGCUGCCUUCCUAUAACACCUUCUCUGGGCAAUCUCCUGUAGGCUUCCACGCUUCCGGCAAACUAGAAGUGAAAACACACAAGGCAAUUUUUUCUCGAUUGCAAAAGUAAUACAUGUCCAUUGUAGAGCAUUUAGAAAUUGUGGAAACACGUGAAGAAAUAAAUAAAAAUAGACUAUAGUCCGGUCACCUGGGUGGCUCAGUCGGUUAAGCGUCUACUUUGGGUCAUGAUCCAGGGACCCUGGGAUGGAGCCCCGCAUCGGGCUCCCUGCUCAGUGGGGACCCUGCUUCUCCUCCUCCCUCUGCUUGUGCUCUCUUGCUCUCCUGCUCUCUCUGUAUCAAAUAAAUAAAAUCUUAAAAAAAAAGAGACUAUAGUCCCACUACUUCUUUCUUUACCUUUUUUUUUUUUAAAGAUUUUAUUUAUUUAUUUGAGAGAGACAGAAUGAGAGACAGAGAGCAGGAGAGGGAGGAGGGUCAGAGGGAGAAGCAGACUCCCUGCUAAGCAGGGAGCCUGAUGCGGGACUUGAUCCAGGGACUCCAGGAUCAUGACCUGAGCCGAAGGCAGUCGCUUAACCAACUGAGCCACCCAGGCGCCCACUUUUUUUUUUUUUUUUUUUUAGAGAGAGAGAGAGAGCAUGCACCCACACACAAGAGUAUGGGGAGGGGCAGAGGGAGAGGGAGAGAGACUCUCAAGCAGACUUCAUGCUGAGCUCGGAGCUGGAGGUGGGGCUCGAUCCCACAACCCUGACCUCACAACUGGAGCUGAAAUCAAGAGUCCUCGGCUCCACCCACUGAGCCACACUGGUGCCCCUCCACGUUUUUACUGACAUGUAUGCUUGAAAAGUAAGAUUGAGGCCCUGCUAUCAUCCACUAGUUUGUGAUUAAUUUUUUUUUUAAGAUUUUAUCUAUUUAUUUGACAGAGAGAGAUGCGGUGAGAGAGGGAACACAAGCAGGGGGAGUGGGAGAGGGAGAAGCAGGCUUUCCGUCGAGCAGGGAGCCUGAUGCGGGGCUGGAUCCCAGGACCCUGGGAUCAUGACCUGAGCUGAAGGCAGAUGCUUAACCAACUGAGUCACCCAGGCAUCCCUGUGAUUUGGUUUUCCCAUCUGACAAGUCAUAAUAAGUAUUUGCUCCUGUGUCGAAACUACUGUAAAGCAUGAUUUUUAUGUUGGCAUCCUGUUACCUUAUUUGUAGGUAUCAUAAUUCAGUUUACCUCUGGUUAGAUAUUCAUGUGGUUUAUUAACUUUUGGCCUUUAUAAAAUCUUUGUGUGUAUCUCCAUUUCUUCUUGAAAUUACUAUAAGCAAAAUUCCUGGGUCAAAAAGCUUUUUUUUUUUCUUGUCUAAGAUUUGCAGAGCUGCUCUCCAAAGUGUUUAUGCCAAUUUAUAUUCCCACCUGCCGUGAAUGAGAAUGCAGAAUUCACAAAACCAUCAUUAAGUCUCCCCAAACUAAGAAACUUAGAAUCCUAUUUUGAUUUGUAUUUUUUUGAUUAUUUGUGAUGCUAACUUUCUUCAUGUUUCUUGGCUAUUUGGCUUGUUUUGUGAGUAUGUAAUUUGCCUGUUAUUUACACUUUUAUUUAUUUAAAAAUUUACAAAAUUGAGUUUCUGUUAAAUUGUAAACCUUCUUUACAUCUUAAGUGUAUUAACUCUUUCACUAUCAAGCACUGCAAGCAUUUUAUCCUUUUUAUCAUUUGAUUUUUAAUUGUUAAUGGAUUUGUUAAGAAGAUUUUAUUUAUCUAUUAGAGAGAGAGAGAGAGAGAGAGAAUGCAAGUAGGGGGAGACACAGAGGGAAAGAGAGAAUCCCAAGCAGACGCUAGGUUUGAUCUCAUGACCCUGAGAUCAGGACCUGAGCUGAAGUCAGAAGUCAGAUGCUUAACCAACUGAGCCACUCAGGUGCCCCAAUAGUUAAUGGAUUUUUAAUGUAUAUGUUUAUAAAUCCAAGUACAUAAAUAUUUUCCUUUAUUCAUUCUUCCUCUGCUUUUAUGUUCAGAAAGGCUUUGUACAUCCCAGGGUCAGAUAAAUAUCAAUCUACAUUUUCUACUGCUUUUAUGACUCUUUUUAUUUUUUAAAAAAAUGUUUAAAUCUCUUACUUGUUUGGAAUUUGUUUUGGUCUGUGUAGUAAGAAUCUAUAUACCGAAGACUCUUUUCCUUACUGAUCUCAAUCUUGUAUGUUAUUGGGCCUGUUUCUGUAUUUUUCAAUUUUAUUUCAUUAUCUUCAUAUCUCCACUGCUUCUUCAGCCAAAACCCUCCCUUUUUUUAUUAUUAGAAUUUAAGACUAUGCUUUCAUAUCCAGUAAUUCAAGUUUGUCAUCCUUACAAUUAGUUUUCUGGGUUAUACUCCCCUCUUUAUUAUUCUGUAAGAACUCAUCCAGUUCAAAAUGUAAGUGAAUACAAUUUAUACAUUAAUGUGUGGGCACUUGAAGUCCUUAAUACUGAGUUUUCUUGGCUACAAGUAAAACAUGCCUGUCAUUUAUCUUUUCCUGCAAAUUUCUGCCAAGUUGUGGUUUCUUCAUGUCAUAUCUCAAUAUAGUCUCGAGUUUAUUGAUUGUUGUUGUGAAUCCUGUUUCUCUAUUAAAUUUUAUAACUGCUGAGGAAAGUUGCCUACGUACAUAUUUUUAUUUGGCAUUUGCCACUUUCCUGCUUUUUAUUCACAAAGUUUGCCAGUUGAUUCUUUUGAACCAUAUAGGUAAAUAUUAUCAUCUGCAAAUAAUGAUAAUUUUUUUCCUCUUCCUCAAAAUGACGUAAUUUCUUCAUUUUUCCUCUUAUUGCAGAAGAUUAGAACUUUCAAAUUAUUUUAAAAUAUUCUUUAUUGGACACGCCUCCAGUAUUUCGCUACUAAGUUUGAUGGCCUGAAUACAUUGUAUUUUUGAAGAACUCUGGCUUCCGUAAAGUGGUUUUGGCUUCAAAUGGCUAUCUCCCUCCUGAACCUUUUGUUCACUGGUCCACUUGGAUGUCUCCCAACCCUCUCUGCCCAGAGCUGAACAAGUCUUACCCUUUUCUUUUUUUUCUCUUUUAAAGAUUUUAUUUAUUUAUUUAUUUAUUUAUUUAUUUAUUUAUUUAUUUAUUUAUUAUUUUAGAGAGGGAGAGCAAGAAAGAGCGUGAGCUGGGGGAGGGGCAGGGGGAGAGGGAGAGAAUCUCAAGCAGGCUCUGCACAGUGUGCAGAGCCCGGUGUGGGGCUUGAUCUCAAGACCCUGAGAUCACGACCUGAGCUAAAAUCAAGAGUCGGAUGCUGGGGUGCUUGGGUGGCUCAGUCGGUUAAGCAUCUGCCUUCAGCUUGGUUCAUGAUCUUAGGGUCCUGGGAUCGAGCCCCACACAGGGCUCCCUGCUCAGCAGGGAGUCUACUUCUUCCUCUCCCUCUGGCCCUCCUCACUGCUCCUGUGCUCUGUCUCUCUCAAACGAAUAAAUAAAAAAAUCUUUUAAAAAAAAGAGUCGGGUGCUUAACCAACUGAGUCACCCAGGCACCCCAAGUUUUACCCUUUCAUACAUAAAAGUGUUCUAUCUCUAUACAGACAACCCCACCUCUUACCUACUGAUGCUUUUUUUUUCUUAUCAUCCACAUUUCACUGUGGGAGAUCAGUUCUCAGACCAACACAUUCAUUACAAAUCCGAACCACUACUGUUUUAGUUAGUAUGAAAAUAUGAAACGACCAGGCUAUUUUCUGCCAACUUAAAAGUUAGCGUCUUGUGGAAGAAUUUGUUUUUAAUGUUUGCAUUUUAAGAAAAUGCUGAACUAUUUUCUCACAUAGGAAUUAUUUCAUUUGAAUUUGCUGACUUUUUGUCAGCAAAAAGCAAAAAGAACCUGGGAUUUUGCCGAUGCCAUGCUAAGAGGGUUGGUUCCGUGGGUUAGAUGGGUUAGAACAAUAUGUAAAAACAGACUGAGAAAGAGUGACAGUAACAGUUAGCAAUGGCGGGGGUCACCUAUGCGGAGGGAGAAGGGUGCAUGCCUUUGGAGAGGGGUCAGGCCUAAUAACCGUGGGAAGUUGAAUGGUCUCUCUAUCACUCUGAGACUCCAUUUCUGCAACUCUAAGUUUGGGGUCAUCACCUGUUUUGCAAGUAUAAUGUAAGAAUGACAGAUGAUGAGUGUAAAGCAUCUGGUAAGACACUUGGCCCCUAUCAGGCACUUACUGAGAGAAACUGUAAGCUUCUGGCUAGGUUUGAAGGCAGGAUGACGGACCAUGUUAUAGAUAAUAAAAUGGAAAGAAAAGACCUUUUUCUGCUACACAGAGUUAACCCCAAGCAUGUUUAAGAAUUUCAGGAUUUGGGGGCGCCUGGGUGGCUCAGUCAGGUAAGUGUCUGCCUUCAGCUUGGGUCAUGGACCCAGGUUCCUGGGAUCAAGUCCUGCAUUGGGCUCCCCACUCAAUGGGGAGUCUGCUUCUCUCUCUCUCCAUGUACCCCUCUGUCGUGCUCUCUCUCUCUUAAAUAAAUGAAUAAAAAUCUUAAAAAAAAAGAAUUUCAGGAUUUAGCUAACAGGCAGUGCUGUAUGUUCAUGGGUUCUAAAGGCCCCCAGUCUCCACCUUAAGGCAGUGGAAACCCUUAGUCCUCCUCUUCUCUAUCUGGUUUGGCCAUUUAUGUGAAUGCCAAACAUCACUGGACCCCGCUUUCCAUCCCACCCUGAUAGAGUAUGAGCUCGGAAUGUUUAGAUUUCAACGGCCUCUGAGCAGGACCAGAAGGGCUCCUCAUUUUGAUAAUAUAGUAAAAUAGUCGUUGUGACUAUGUGUCAGGCAUUUAAGAACUUCCUUGUCAACCCCCCUUAAUUUUUCCAAUUUGUUAGCCUGGAAAAUGCCCUUAUUAGUAUCAAACUUAGGUCUUAACAAGGCAGGAUAAAGUUUUUCUUCUAUCUUUCCCAAAGUGAAGCUAGAGAUCUGGAUUUUUUUUUUUUUUUUUUUUUUUUUUUUUUUUUUUACUUGAUGGGAGGUUUCUGUAUUAUUAUUGUUUAAAGUCAAUUAUCCUUUACUUUGUGUUCUUUUUCUGUUGUUUAUUUUAUCUGUCCUUCUCUCCCAGAGGGGCAGAAUUAAGGCCCCCAUUUGGUUUUUAUUAGUGUAAUCAGUUAAUAGCUCUUCGAUAAUGCUUUACUUAUUGUGUUAAUUUUCUGCAGUUAUGUCCAGAGGCAGCUUCCUGGAAGACCACAUUUAAAAAAAGAAAAAGAAGAUCUAACAUUUCUUCUUUAAUGGGUCCACUUAGCAUUUAUAGUUUCAGCUAAGAUUAUGGAACACUGUUGAUUUACAAGAUUAUUGAAAAUAUAUAUAAACAGCAGCUACUAUUUUAAAUAGAUCUGUGGUAACCCUAAAAAUUCCAUUAGUAUGGUGAAGGUACGAACACUGCCCAUGGUGUUUCUGUUGACAUGGCUUAUCACAUCAAUUCUUUGGAUUUAUCUGGAACGCAUUAAAGGUAUGGGUGUACGCCUUUCCCAUGCAUAUGGUGCCAGUCACUGUAGUUCUACUGUGUCAGCAGCUAAACUCUGCUUUCCAGGGACCACCGUCCAAUUGCUAGUGACAAUUUUUUUUUUUUUUUAAUAGGCUCUACAUCCAGCGCGGAUCUCACAAUCGUGAGAUCAAGACCUGAGCUGAGAUCAAGAGUCGGUUGCUAACCAACCGAGCCACCCAGGGCCCCGCUGGUGGGGAUUUUAAUGGGAACGUAUCCUACAUGGACCUUGGUACUCAGAGAGUAGUCCUCAAAUUAAAGUGGAGCUUCGGGGCAGAGCAUAGGGACAAACUAACUUACUUGAAGGGUCACAAAAAAGAGAUUGAUGAUCAAUGUGAUAGAUUGAGCCCCCAUGGUAGGUUGUAUUCUGAAUUAAAUGAAUGUGCUGAAGCAAAGAGAACAUGACUCAGUGAUUGGCAUCAUGGGUUCUAGACCCACUUCGGACACGAAUUAGCUCUAGAACUUCCUGGGACAUGAACUGGCUCUAGACCCACCUCGGACACGAACUAGCUCUCAGGCCUUUCAGGGCCUCAGUUCCGUCCUCUGUAAAGCGAGAAGUUGGGAUGAAGGUUCUAAAGUUCCUCCCAGCUUUCACCGUCUCUGCAAUGUUCAGUCAGUGGUCGCUCUGUGCACGCACUUAGUGAGGAGGAAUCAUUAGCAGGUGACCGAAUUAGGAUUAGAAUGCCUUCGGGUCAUUAUCGAGUUUUGGGACAUGAACUGGGCGCUUAGCACAAAAUGGGGGCCCAUCAGUGCUUUUAUAAUAAAUCCGUUUUUAUGGUGACGCCUAAGUGAAAUUCUAUUUUGGAGAACUGUUCUUGGUCCCGCCCAAUGGCUGUGAGUGGAUGUGGGAAGAGCACCAGAGGGUAAGUCACAGAGCCCCGCUGUGGGAGCCUGGGCAAGUCACUUUCUCUCCUUGGGUCUUUCCCCCUUCAUUUGUCAAACAAAGGGGGUGGAGGAGAAUCACCAAGGUAGCUUCUAACUAAGGGAGUCCGUAGCCUUGUAAGAAUUGGCUGCCGCGUAAAGCAAAUGAGAAGGUUCUGAUGUUCCCCCAACAUCCAGUGCCCAGAGCAGUUGGAGCAUGUUAGCUGCAAUUUCGUGCUUGCUGGGAAACAGGACGUGGGCUUGCUACGGAGACGGGCUGGGAAGGAGAGGACAGAAAGGAGAUCUGUGCGCUAAGGGUUGGCUGGGGAAAUUUCAUGCAAAGAAGGGAAUGAGGUUUCCUGUAAUUGCCUGUUUCUGAGCUACAGAAUGUAUCCAAUCCUGUGUUUAAAACGAUGCAUUGCCUCGUUGUUAGCUCAGUACGCCACUUGUUUUGUCUGCCUCUGUACCUGCCAGUGCUGAUGAUGUUUGAGAACUUUCCUUUCAGGCAGUGCCUCAAAGAGGGCAGUGGAAGGCCACAGGGCAAAGUCAAGACAGAGCAUAUUUGAAAGGAAGAGGGGAGAAGCCCAUAGACAUUUCAAUGGAAGUAUUUUUAAGGCAUUUCAAGGAGGAGUCUGAGAAAUAAUUACAAAGUUUAAAAAGGAAGAAUCUUGACUUUGAUCUGAUUUUCUUCUGCAAAGCAAUUAGGUCCAUCAUUUUUUUAAGGGCUAAGCUGAAAAUUCUAAUGGCUGGACCCAAACACUUUCAUUUGUGUCUUGGCACUUCUAAAUUCCAAAAGAAAAAAAAAAAGUUUAACAAUUUAUUAAGGUGAUUUUUGCAGAGGGAUUAAUGCAUAAAGCAUUUGCUGGUCAGCUCUCGUAAAGACUACAGCACCAUAGUAUAGCUGAGAUUAAGAGCUAGAUGUAAAUCAUGCAAGCGUCCAAUUAAUAGCACCGAACUAAGGAAUCUAUAAAGUUGAUCUGAUGAAAGGAGGAAAAACUGUCAAGGUAUGAUUGGAAUUUUCCGUUCCAAUUGCUGUUGGGGAUUUUAAUGGGAAUGUAUCCCACAUGAAUUUCUUCCUCACCAGCCUGGUCCACGGGAUAGGCACUCAGGUAAGGAGAGGAUAUUUGAUAUGUGUUCUAUUGAUGUUAGAUGUGAAUGAGUGAAAGUUGUAACACUGAGCUUAAGGGUUUUCUCCAGCUCGAGACUGUACUAUGCUCGGAGGGAGUCUGUAUUGUGCAUAUUCCUACAACUUCCAUAUGCCCCAGAGGGAACAGAGCAGGACUGGAGCUCUAAAUAACCCUAAUGAUAUCGGGUAGGAGCCCAUCAGGGAGUUGUUCGAGUUUGUCAGAGCAUAUUAAAAUACAAUGCAUUCACAUCAUCAGAAAGCGUACAUCAGUCUGUCUAUACGUUCCUUUCUGAUAUUAAAUUUGUCCAGGGACUAUUCAAAAUUACACCCCACCUACCUGUACUCCCUCCCUUAGUGAAUAAACAUGCCGAAGAAGUGGAGAGUAAAUCAGAAUAAUGCACGUUGGUGAAAGUCCUAUAAUUGAAAUCAUUAUUGCUUAAGACACCACUGCUUAAAUCAGCCCUAUCAUAAAUCAGUGCUUUUCACAAGUGAAGGUUUAAAAUAAAGUGCUGUUUAAACAGAUUGGGUCUCUUAAAAGGCAUGAUGCAAUUGGGAAGCCCUGGAAAAUGGAUAAAAAAGUGGUUUCUGAAGAGAUACACUGGUUCCAGCAUUUUAUCUUCCACUUAAUUAAAAAAAAAAAAUUACCUAGUCCUUUCUUAGAAAUUACAUAUUGGAGGGCUGUAAUGGCCAAGCCUUUAACCCAUUAAAAAAAUUUACUCCCAGGAACAGUUAAUAUUUGACGUUUAAUUGCUUUUUCUUGUUGGAGAGGAAAAUCUGUUUCUUUCCUUCCUUUCUUGAUUGACUCUUCAAAAAUCACCUUGUGAGCUAUAAAGAUGGAGAGGAGUAAUUGAUUUUCAAAAACUCAAGUGCAUGCACAUGUAUUCACGUGUGCGCGUGUGUGUGUACAUUACAACCUCUGAGUACCAGGCACAGGGGCUUCCCCCACAAUCACUGUGCAAGGCAGGUGUUACUAUUUCUAGUUAACAGAGACGCAGCCAAGGCCCAGAGUGGUUGAUUUCUUGCAUAGGGUCACACAGGUAGUAAGUGAUGGGAGGCUGAGUCUUUAUUCCUCCAACCCUGUUGCCUGCCUGUAGGGACGCUUCAUGCCCAGGUGUGCAGAUGUCCAUGGAGCAAGGACCAAAGGCCAUGCCAAUGAUCCCCAUCAUUGGAGUAACUAAUCCUUUCAGCCUGUUUAACCAGCACCACGUUCUGGAAUUUAGCAAAUAAUGCCACGCCAUCCACAAAUGUCGAAAGAGUCCAACUCUGAUUUGUGCCUGUUAUGUGAAUACUGCAUUGUAACUGAGCUAGGAGAAGCAGUUGAACCAGCCUUAUCAGUGAUACCAACUGGGGAGAGAUUUUUCCUUGGAGAGUUUUAUGUGGACGAGUGGGGGGUUGGAUGAUCUCUCAUUAGAAAAAUGCCCAUACAGACUUCAGAUGAACUUCCGGGGCUCCUCAGGACUUGUUUCAAGAGUCUUAAAGAGGGUGUCAUCAGGACAUUGGUGUAGAAGGGGCAAGGAAAAGCCACUUUUCAGUUGCCCUGAGUUAGAAAAUUUCCAUUUCAACAUUGUCAAUCCCUCACCUUUUAUGUGAGGUAAAUUCACUACCAAAGGCCAAAGUGUUCCCUUUUUUUUCUUUCUGUUUUCUUUUUCUUCCUUCCUUUCUUUCUUUCUUUCUUUCUUUCUUUCUUUCUUUCUUUCUUUCUUUCUUUCCUUCCUUCCUUCUUUCUUUCUUUUUUUCUUUCUUUUCUUUCUUUCUUUCUUUCUUCUUUCUUUCUUUCUUUCUUUCUUUCUUUCUUUCUUUCUUUCUUUCUUCUUUCUUUCUUUCUUUCUUUCUUUCUUUCUUUCUUUCUUUCUUUCUUUCUUUCUUUCUUUCUUUCUUUCUUUCUUUCUCUUUCUUCCUUCUUUCCUUCCUUCCUUCCUUCCUUCCUUCCUCCCUCUCUCUCUCUUUCUUUCUUUUCCUUCCUUCCUUCCUUUCUUUCUUCCCUUUUGCUCUUCCUUUCUUUCUUCCCACAAAACCAGGUAUUAUUUAGGUAUCUGGCAAAGCCGCACAAACCAACUGUUCCUCCUCAAAAUAUGCCUUUUAGAGCUCAGGUGAUACACCUCAAUUACACCUUCUAUGUUUUGUGGUCAGAUGUGGGCUGUGUCAUUCUACAUCACUCCACCUUGCGAGAAAAUAUUUAUAUAUUAGCCUCACCAGGUUGCAUGUCCUCUGGGAUUGCUCCUGCCUGUGCUGUCUUCAUGCCAGUGGUGGGCAGUUGAAUGGCUGACCUUCACAGGACCGCUGGGCAUCUGCAGCGAAGAGGAACCGGCUCCUUCCCCCUCUGACUUCACUCAGCUGGAAAACUACAAGAAUGUUCUUUGUCUCACGACUUGGGGAAUGUUCUUUCGUUAGCGGUUCGGACACUGAUACGGUUUCUUCAGACCCUUGUCUACACCUGCAUAAGGUCUGUAAAGUGAGUAUAAUGAAUAACUCAGUUUCACUGUUUUCUUUAAAGUGACAGCAUGUUAUCGUGAACGCUUGCAUUUGGACACAUGGCUAAACAACCGCCUUUUGGAUUUUCCAUGUUAGGAUGAAAAAAAAAAAAUGCAAGCCACACAUCACCAAGAAUCCACGGCUGUGCCUGGCAGUGUAAUUGGGAAAAGUUUGGAAUGUUAGUGGACAUUCCUAGGAGCAGCUUUAUUUCCCGCACCUGCAGCAAUGCGCUGACAUUAAACACACAGGGACCAAGUGCAUGUGUGUAAGGCGCAGUGGUAGACGGAUGUGAAAAAUGGGUGGAUGAGGACUUGGGAUGAGAUUCUCCCAGGACUCCAAUGUGCUGAGGUUGGGAAAUGCUCAGGCGGGCACCUUCCAGGCACGGUUGGCUGUGCUACUAAUAAGGUUACCGCUGGGGCCUGAUUUCAUUCCAUGAAAUCUUUUCACCAUCAGGGUGAAGAAAAUUAUUUUUCACCGUUCCCCAAAUGGAAACAUUUUCAGAGAGAGUGCACAAGUAGGCAAAGCAGCAUGCAGAGGGAGAAGGAGAAGCAGACUCCCCACUGAGCGGGGAGCCCGAUGUGGGACUCGAUCCCAGGACCCUGGGAUCAUGACCUGAGCUGAAGGCAGCCGCUCAACCAACUGAGCCACCCAGGUCAGUGGGCCCUGGUGUGCCCGACGCCCAGCAUCUCCAUCAGAUACAGCUUUGAUGGUGUACCAUCUUCAUGGUGAGGCCUCGUCCACAGCCAUGGACUUUCAGGCGGGUUUGCUGCUCAGCUGCUGACCUUUCUCUGGUAAGAGUAUCCUAUAUCCCAUCAUCAGUAGAGCCUUUUUCUCUGCAUCUCAGUCUCUGGUCUCCAAAUAUUACUAACUGUACACAUUCACUUUUUUUUUAAAGAUUUAUUUAUUUAUCUUAGAGAGAGAGGGAGAGAGAGAGCAUGAGCAAGGAGGGGUGGAGGGAGAGAGAAAGAGAAUCUGAGCGAAUGGAGCCCGACUCGGGAUUCGAUCCCAGGGCCCUGUGAUCAUAACCUGAACCGAAACCGAGAGUCGGACAGUCAACUGACUGUGCCACCCUGGUGCCCCUAGACAUUCACGUUUUAAUCCCCAUGUAGGUUGGGGUCCUUUUCUCUUCUUAGUAUAAAAGUGAUAUAUAUCCACUGUAGAGAAUUUAGAAGACACAAAAGAAGCAAAACCAAGAAAACAACUGUUGUGGGUAUAAACAUUGUUAAGACCUUGGUGUGGGUUACUUUUUUCCCUCCAUGUUUAAACUUUUAUUUAGGAAAAAACAGAAUUACUACUCAGAUGGGCAAUGCUUUCCUCCAAGUUAUUUGCUAUUUUAUAGAAUCAAUUGUUACAAAACUAGAGCCUCUGGCCCCAGCUAAUUGGACCAGUCUGGGCCAUCAGGCCCUAGCUGGGGCAGUACCUGCUCUUUCCUUAGUGUUAAAUCAGAUGAUAUUGGGAUCUGGGGCCAUAAUAUCACAUCAAAGUGGGAUUAGAAUUUUCACUUUGAAGGCUAAAACUUUAUUGGAGAUGGUGGUUUGUGAGAGACAAGUAGAGAAGACACAGGAGUCUAGAGGCUUCCUUGGAUCCUGGCUCUAAUUUCUGUGGUGAAUUUUGUGUUCUAACCUUUUAUUCAUAUCUCAAAUCCUCCCUUAGUGGUAGAGCUGUGUCUGUGGGGUUCUGACAUCUCCCCCUAACAGUAUCUGAGAAGGUAGGCUUGAAUAUUUAUGGGGAAAGAGGAGCAUCCUGCUUAAACUCUGGCAUUAACACUGAGUCCAAAUACGUACCUUGUCACGUAGUUUGCUAUGUGACUUGGGCGAAUUAUUUAAACAAUCUGUCUCACAGUCCCCAUCUGUAAAAUGGAUAUAACAAUGCGGUCCAGUGAUGUAAGGAAUCGGAAGUUCCUGGGACACAGUCUGCCACAAAAGUCAGGUUCGAUAAAUUUUGCCUAUGAUUAUUAAUUAUCACAAUCCUAAAUCCUCUGUAAUUGCUCAUGAAACAGCCCCAUACUUUUUCAGCAUUAGAACCAAAGCUGUGACAAACAUCCCCAAAUAUUUACAUGUGAUUGUCUUGAGUUAAAUGCCUAGGAGUUGCAUCAUCCGGUCACAGAUUAUGGACAUUUGAAGAGUUCAAAGCUGUCACUGUUUUCAUUGAAUCUUGUAAGAUGUCCACAACCCAGCCUUUCCCAAUUUUUUAUUCAGCUUGGGAAAGAUGAAGAAAACCCACACCCAACAUGCUCCUUGCCUCAAGGAACAUUGUCUGUUGGACAAGCAGAUGUACAAGCAAUUAUAGGUCAUAGUUACAUUUGCCAGAAUGGAAGAGUGUAUCUGUAAGGAAAUCCCUGAGCCACGGUCUACGCAGUUAGUCUGAUGGUCUCCAGAGGGUUUUGAUGGGUCCCAGGUUACAGCAUUUCAAAACAUUUUUAGUUGCCAACAAUGAACGACUGGAGAUUUCAGGUAAAAAUGUAGAUUUCUGUCUCACCUUGAAAAAAAAAAAUGGAAGUAUUGGCAAUACUGAGGCCUCAUGUUACCAUGGCAACAGUGAGGCGUGGCUGACCCUUUAGCUAGGGCACCAGUUCUCUUUUUUUGGCACAGUCCCUACCACUCCCUAGUGUACUACCUUUUGCUGCUAUCUGUAUGAGCCAUGAGCUUCUGACGAUAGGCCUAGUUAAGGGGGUAUUUAUUUUUUCACGGGCUCUCAGAGAAGACACAGAGAGGUCUGCUAGAGCAGAGGACUACAGGGUAAGCAAAAAUAUGCUUAAAUAUGCUUAAAAUAUGGAGGGAGGACCAUCCAUGGUGGGCAGAAUUGCAUGUGCAAAGGUCCGGGGGCUGGAACACAGAGGCCUGCUUGGGUGAUGACAAGCAGACAGGACAGGAGAAGAGUUGGGCAUUUGAAGGAAGGGACUGAGAGAAAGAGUUGGAGAGGCAUGUAAGCAUCAGCUUUUGUGCAGCCUGGCAUGCCAAAAUAAGGAAUUUAGAUUUUUUUUUUUUUUUUUUUUUUUGCUUGCUGUGAAAACUGGAUCUGAUACUCGAGAGAAGAAGAGCUAAAAGAGUUUCUGUUAUCUGUGCUCUGACAUCACGGUGGUGCCUUGCAGAGUAUGUUGUGCGCAGAACCUCAUUCAAUCCUGACGCCAACCCCAGAAGACGUGUGCUUUCGUUACCCUCACCUCACAGAUGAGAAAAUGCAGAUAGAAGGAGGCUGGUUAAGUGACUUCCCCGAGGUCACAACCACUUUGUUCCUGCCACAGAAAAGGUUAUGUGGAAGAAAUCUCUCAGUCCUGAUAGAGCCAGAGCUUGGGGAUGUUAUCCUGAAAAAGUAAAGAUGGAUGGCCUUCCCUGAUGAGCUUUUCUAGCAAUCAGACAGGCAUUCUUUCCCUGCACCUGGUGAUCAUAGUGUAUCCUGCCGAAUCUUUUCUGCACGAGCCCGUGGGUUGCUAAGAUGACGUUGCAUGCCAUACCUUGAGCUGAACUUAAUUUAAGCAAGUUAGCACAAAACGAGGACAACUUCUGUGCAGUAUAGGACUUCUGUUGGUGAUCUUGUGGACUUACGGAAUACUGAUCCUCUACAGGAAGUAAGAGGCAGAUAUGUAAUCUGGGCCAUCUUUCUGAUCCAUUUUAGUUAUGUCUGAUUCUAAAUUGAGUUAUAUAGAAUUUAACAUAACAGGACCCUGUGUCUAUAUUCUUUAUGCCUCCUUUCUAAAAAUGUAAAAUUUUAUAUGCCAAUCUGAGUUAAAUGAUCUGAGGGCAUUCAAAAUCAAAGAUUAUUUGACUUGUGUUCCAGUGUGUUCUAUAUUGGACUACUUUAUGAAGAUAUUUGGUAACAGAACAAGUGUGUGUGUGUUUGUGUGUGCAUGUGCACAUAUUUUUUUUUAACUCACCAUGCUCAGAUGUGUGAAUGUUAGACGGUAAGCACCCCAAAGGGCAGGUUUGGGUGGUGGUGUUCACUUUGUUAGCCCCAUAACACCUGAUGGAAGGCUCUUGAGAAAUAAAAUGCCAGUUUAUAAUUCUAUAGACUUUAUAUUCCUGAAGAUCCUUUGGUGACCUCUCUUACAACCAACCAUCUGGUGAGAUGGAUCAGACAAGUCUUACAAUCAUUACUUCACAGAUGAUAAAUCUGAGCUUCAGAGAGAGCUAUUUGUGAUUCUUUCCAUGUCUUCUACUCCAAUUUUUUCUUGAGUAUGAGAGCUGGAACUUUACAUUGAAUGGGAGGAGCCUCACUAUACAAGGGUGAUGGGGGAAAGGGCAUGUCUGAAUGCAUGAGGCAGGUUGAUGAUGGUUGAUAGAAGCCUUCCUACAGAGCCACAGGACUUCUCCAUCACCACCUGCACCUCACCUUGGAGCACUGAACUACAUUCACAACCACCAUGAGCAAUGGUUGGCAAUGAGGUGUCCAAAUGGUUAUGGGAAUGCAUCUCUGGCUUUUCCAGAAGUGGUCCCCAGGGUGCUUGCGGUGUGUACUAGUUUUUCCUGAAGCUUCAGGAUCAGUGUUUGAAUUCCUGGACCAAUUUACCUAACUUCUACCUGGUCUCACUCAUUACAGACUGAGUUAUCUCUCAGAUGGACAGGAAAUUGUACUACAAAUGGGUCAACAACAACAAACAGGACUGAUUGGGCACAUGCUACCUUGGAUCUUUGGGUUACCUAUAUUUAUCUAACAAAAUGUUCUUACCUCUCAGAGUACUAGUGAGAGACUUAACAUUUCACUAGGUCUUGGGUAGACUUCUGGGAUGGACAAUGUAACAAUUUGGCUUGUCCCUUCCUAAUUCGUUUCCAUCCAAUUCAACAAAUAGUUUAGUGAGCACAUAUUACAACAUGCCAGGCAGCUGUGCUGAUACUGGGAAUAUGGAGGAAAGUGAUACAUGCACUGUUCUUGCCUUCAUGGAAUAUAUAAACUAGUGGGGAAAGAUGGCAAGAAAGGAAUGAAAGUCGGAUUCGUGUGAUGAAAAAAAGCAGUCCCAUGAAAUUGGUGUAUUUUUCCAGGGAGGUAAGCAUGCUGGAACUUUCUGGUUAUUUCAGUUUAGAUUGCCUGAACUUCUUAAUGUGCUCACAGGUAAGCUCUGGUCUUAGUAGCUAUAAAAUGUUGUGAAAGUUCCACGACCUCUUUGGACUACAGUUCUGUCAUUUGUGAAACAUAGGGGUUGACUAGAUGAUUUUGUAACUCAACUCAUCAUGGUGGACAUUGCAUAAUGUAAGGAAGUGUCAAAUCACUAUGUUGUACACCUGGAAUGAAUAUAACAUUGUAUGUCAUCUAUGCUUCAGUUGAACCAAACAAACAUAAAUAAAAGUCUUUUCAGUGAAAUGUUGAAAGCUCUUCCUUUAAGGUCAAGAACAAGACAAGGGUGCUCUCUCUCACCACUCUUGUUUACAUAGUUCUGGAAGUCCUAGCCAGGGCAAUUAGGCAAAAAACCAAAACAAAACAAAAAAAGAAAAACAAAAAACAAAUACAAAACAAAAAAACAAAAGCAAAACAAAAAAACCCCACCCAAAUCAGAAAGAGAAAAGAGAAAGAAAGAAAGAAAGGCAUCCAAAUUGGAAAGAAAAAAGUAGAAUUGUGUCUGCUUGCAAGUGAUAUGAUCUUAUAUGUAGAAAACCCUACAGACUCCACCAAAAACCUCUUAGAACUAAUAAAAGAAUUCAGUAAAGUUUCAGGAUACAAAAUCAAUAUACAGAAAUCAGUUGUGUUUCUAUACACUAACAACAACAUAUCUGAAAAAUAAAUGAAGAAAACAAUUACAUUUACAAUGAUACCAAAACCAAAAACAAUAAAAUACUUAGAAAUAAACGUAACCAAGGAGGUGAAAGGUCUCUACCUGGAAAAUUAUAAGACUUUGAUGAAAAAAAUUGAAGAGGACAAAUAAAUGGAAAGAUAGCCCAUGCUUAUGGGUUGGAAGAGUUAAUAUUAUUAAAAUGUCCACACUCACAAAGCUAUCUAUAGAUUCAGUGCAAUCCCUAUCAAAAUUCCAAAGGUAUUUUUCACAGAAAUAGAAAAAACAAUCCUAAAAUUCAUAUGGAACCACAAAACACACCAAAUAGACAAAGCAAUGUUGAGAAAGAAGAACCAAACUGGAGGCAUCAUAUGUCCUGAUUUCAAAUGGUGUUACAAAGCUAUUGUAAUCACAACAGUAUGGUAGUGGCAUAAAAAUAGACAGAUAGACCAAUGGAAAUAAAUGGAGAGCCCAGAAAUAAACCCACACAAAUACAGUUAACUACUGUAUGACAAGGGAACCAAGAAUACUCAAUGGAGAAAUGGUUGUCUCUUCAAUAAGUCAUGUUGGGAAAACUGGAUAAUUAUAUACAAAAGAAUAACAUUGGAUCCUUAUCUAACACCACUCAUAAAAAAUUAACUCAGAAUGGACUAAAGAUUUAAACAUAAGACUCAAAACUGCACAACUCCUAGAAGAAACCAUAGGGAAAAAUCUCCUGGACAUUGGUCUUGGCAAUGAUUUUUUGAAUAUGACACCAAAGGCACCAACAGCAAAAGCAACAAUAAACAAGUGGGACUAUUUUAAACUAAAGGUCUUCUGCACAGCAAAAGAAAUAACAAAGUGAAAAGGCAACCUAUGGAAGGGGAGAAAAUAUUUGCAAACCAUAUAUCUGAUGAGGAAUUAAUAUCCAAAAAUUUUAAGAAACUCAUAAAGCUCAAUAACAGAAAACCAAACAGUCAUUUAAAAAACUAGCAAAAGACCCAAAUUGACAUUUUUCCAAAAAAGACGCACAAAUGGCUGACAGGUACAUUGAAAUGUGCUAAAUGUCACUAAUCGUUAAGGAAUGGAAAUCAAAAUCAUAAUGGCAUCACCUCACACCUGUUAGAGGGGCUGUUAUAAAAAAGAUGAGAUGACAAAUGUUGGGGAGGAGGAUGGAGAAGAGGGAACCCUCGUGCUCUGUUCGUGGAAAUGUCAGUUGGCAGAAACACUGCAGAAAACAGUUUGGAUGCUCCUCUAAAAAAAAAAAAAAAUAGACUACCCUAUGAUCUGAUGAUCCCACCUCUGGGUAUAUUUCCAAAGGGAAUGGAAUCAGGAUCUCAAUGAGCUGUCUGCAUUCCUGUGUUCAAUACAGUAUUAUUCACAACAGCCAACAAAGGGAAAUAACCUUAGUGUCUGUCUAUGGAUGAAGGAAUAAAGAAGGUGUGAUAUAUAUAUAUAUAUAUAUAUAUAUAUAUAUAUAUAUAUAUAUAUAUUUCUGGGAAUCUAAUGUGCAAGAAUGGAAAUAAUACAGUAGUAUAAAUAUUACUUAGCCACCUGAAAGAAGGAAAUCCUACCAUGGGGAUAUCAAACACGGAUGGACAUUGAGGGCAUUGUUUUAAGUGAAAUAAGUCAGAUGUGAAAAACAAACAUCAUAUGAUCUCAUUUACACGUGGAAGCUAAAAAAGCUGAACUCAUAGAGUCAGAGAGUUAGAAUGGUGUUUACCAGGGGCUGGGGGCUGGGAGAAAUGGGGUGAUAUCGGUCAAAGAUACAAACUUCCAGUUAUAAUAUGAACAAUUUCUGGGCAUCUAAUGUACAACAUGGUGACUACAGUUAACAACACUGUAUUCUGCACUUGAGAGUUACUAAGAGUAGAUAUUAAAUGUUCCCCUCCCCCUAAGCAAGGUAAUUAUGUGAUGUGAUGGGGAGGUGUUAACGAACCCUAUUGUGUAAUCAUUUUGCCACAUGCAUGUGUAUGAAAUCAUCAUGUUGCACACCUUAAACUUACACAAUGUUAUAUGUCAGUUUUACCUCAGUAAAGGUAAAGGGGCGGGAAGGCUGUUCAGUCCUAAGUAUUUUUGUUGUAUUGAACAAUAGCUAACAUCUAUAUUGCAAUCGCUAACAUCUAUAAAAGGCUACGUAUGUGCCAGGCACUGGCCAAGUGGCUUUUCUGGCAUUGUUACAUUUAAAAAGUAAUUUUUGUGACUCUGCUAUGUAAACCUGACUACCGUAUCAAGAGGGGUGUUAGUAACCAUCAAGGGAGCAGAUGGCUUUGCCCAGAUAUCUUUCCAGAUUUAGAUAUUUGAGAUCCUUUGCUAGCGAACUUGCCUCACAUAUGGAAGCAUCUAUGUGCCGUUUAUGUAAUAUUCAUACCUAAACUCUUUGUUCAUGGUGAAAAAUGAUCCAUUUGAUGCCUUGCGUAAUUUAAAAGAUCUCUCAAGACAAAUAAGCAGUUUUCAAGGCAAAACGAAGUCCUUCGUCUGUUAUAGCUAUUUAUUUAAAUGCCCCAUAUCUUCCCCGUCUCCAUCAAGUAUCUCCUUUUGCGAAGUUGUUCGGUCUUUUUGGAAUUCCUUUGUGUCAUUUUCCGAAGUUAUUGAACUUAAUUACUGUGUGACUUACUAGGCAGACGUGGUCUUCGGCUACCUGCUAGGGAUUAGGGCGCCCCCCUUUCAGUCGUGUGAGCGGGGGAAUGAGCGAUGCCCUUGCAACGGGCCAAAAGGCACACACUGGAAGAAAGAGGUGGGGUGUUCGAUGGCCCCCUAACGUGGUAAAUUAGUUAACUAACCAUGAUGAUGAUAAUGACAAUGACAACAGAAAUGAUGAUGUAGAACGUGAGGAUGGUAGAGGUGGUUGUGAUUGUGGCCAUUGUGGAUGGAGCAUCCCAGAAACUUGGUUUGCAUAACUAUCUUAUUUAACGCUCACAACAACCAAGUGAAUGUGGUGCUAAUGUAUCCAUCGAGAGAGGAUGAAACUGAGCCUCAGCAUUUGUAUCCACCUGUUGUAGAUCACACUGGCAGUAACCAGACAAGCUGGGAUUUAAACCCAGUUCAAUCUAAUUCCAGAUCUUUGGCUUUUAGUGACUCUACGGUACUAAUUGAAGACCUUGGCACCAGGAUUCCUUUCUAAGAGACUGAGGUAUGGCAGUGAACCUGAAGAGGGGCCGACUGGCAGGCACGAGGAGAGACGUCAGUGAGACUCUGAACUUGCACCUGCCCGUGAGACUUGGAAACAAGAGUCCCUGCCUCCUGGAGUGACGUCGGGACAGUGAGGAGCAGAAACUGUAAAGUUCGGGAGAAACAGAAUCAAAUGUAAUACACUUUUACGGAUGGCCCUGCUAUGUGCCAAGCAAGGUGUCACAUCGUUUCAAAUGCUGCCUCAUUUAUCCUCACCUGACAGAUGAGAAUAAGGCUGUGGCAAGGGGUGCAAUAGCUCGCCCAGCUGGAAAGUGGCAGAGUCAUUUGCUGAUCUGCCUCAUUCUUGAAAAGGCUUUGACGCAACUCUUUGGAAAUGAACUUCUUCAGAGCCAUGUAGAGCUAAACUGCUUCCUCAGCGCAUCCUGUCCCAAAAGUUCUUUAAAGUCGAUUGGACCUCUCUUGAGAAAUUUGAUAACAAAUAUGCAUUGACACCUACUCUCUGUAAGGUAUUGAAUUGGAAGACAAUGAAAUAUACCUUCAAUCAACAUUUGUUGAGUUUCCACGAUAUGCUAGAAACUGUGCUAGGUACGUCAGAUACAAAUAUAAAAGGGCCUAAUAACCUUGUAGGGGAAGGUGGAACUGUGAAUGAACGCAUGCAGUUUUAGAAGGAUGAUCCGCAGCAGAGCAACACAAAGGAGUGACUUGAGGAAUGCUUUGGAGAGGUGGUAACGUUUAUUUGAGCUCGGCCUUGAAGUUAUUAGGAAGAGUUCUUCAGAUUGAAAAAUUGAGGAAAAUACAUUCUGUUUUGAAGGAGCUUCAUGUUUACCUUGACAAAGUGAAUAUGUUAUCGCCUUGGAAAGAGCCAUGAACAUGGGGUGACUAGUUGAGUGCUUUCAGGGUUCCCUGAGCCUCGCAGUGGAAAAUACUUCUUUAAGGUAGGGGCAGCUGUCUGCAGUCUUUAAGAAGUGAAUGGCUUCUAUUUCAGAAAGAAACUUCGGGCACCUGGGAGGAAGAAAGCCCGUUGUGACAGACUGGACACAAGGUGACCUGUAACCGAGCUGUGAAAAUCUUCUGGGCAAAAGAAAAUAAGGGUCAGAAUUAAGGCACUGAAGAUGUAAAGGAGGAAAUGGAAUGGAAAAAUAACUGGCAGGGAGAAUGAAUACUCUGUGACCAUAAGGGGGUGAAUGCAGAAAGUAUUUGUGGGUAACUCCCUGGGGUCUAGUUGGGAAGCUCAGCAAAGAAGAGAAAUUUUGAGUAAAGAUGAAAAAGUUAAUUUGGGAUGUGAUAGAAUUGUGGUGUCUUUAAGACCUACGAAUCGAGUUGGUCAACUCAUCCAACAGUUGGAGAUACUAAUCUGUAGCUCAAGGUAUAUAUGGGUAUAAUUUUAUCUUUCUAUGAGGCUUCAGAUGACUCUUGAUUAUCUAGCAGUGUCUUAGGGGUCAGUAUACUUCACAUUGUGUUGCUUGACCAUAAAUGUAUAGAAAUGCAGGUUGUAGAGAGCUAUGUUGAAUAGAAAGCUGAAUACAAACCAUUAACUAUAUAUACUAACAUGUACCUUGCCCAGAAACAGUGCACAGGGAAAAGCAAGCAAACAAACAAACAAAAAAUAUAUAUAUAUAUAUAAAAUAAAUAAGUAAAGAAAGAAAAAGAAAGACACGACCCUUGCUCAAGGAGCUUAUUAUCUUAAGCCUACAGAAGAUAUGACAAGUGGUCAGAUUACCUGUGCUAGGAUUCUGGACCUUGCAUUUGCUAUAUGACCUUGGGCAAGUUAGGUGACUUUGUAGAGCUUGGAUUCUCUCAUUUGUAAAAUCGUAUUUGUAGAAUAUUAGCAUCUUCCUCAUUAAGGAGUUAUAAGUAUUAGCCAAACAAAAAUUGAUUUCCUGUAUUUUGAAUGUAUAAAAUAAUCUUUUUUUAGGAAAUAAUGUAUGCAUUGUGAUCUAUUUAAUAAAUUUCACUAUUGCUUUAUUUGAUUUCCAGUUAAUGCCAAAUAAUAACCUAUCUAUUUGAGUUGCAAAAAUCAAGCUGGUUUGAAUUAAAGAAGUGUGAAAAAUUCUUGGGUUGGCAAAAUACGUAACACUUUCAUCAACUAAAAGUAGGUAAAAUGUGUUAAAAAUAAUGAAAAGUCCUCACUUUAAUUGAACCGGCUUUUUCAUGAGCCUAUAUUUUUAUGAAGCUUAAUGAAACAAAAAUUGAAAUGUGCCCAUUAUGAAAUCUGUGUUAAUUGUUUUUAUUUCCAUAAAGUUCACAUGAUUACAAAAAGUUUUGCAGUGAUGCCAGCUAGAAAUGCACAGUACCUGCCUUUCAUUUUCUCUGGAUUUAUUUUUGGUAAUAAGGACAAAUAUUCAUUUUGGCAAACAGCAUUUGCUAAAUUGAAAACUUCCUUUAAACACACUAGAAACUUUUGACCUAAGAUUGCCAAAAUUGCAGGGUAUUUUUGUCAGUCUGACAAAACUUUCUUUGUUCUUCCUCGCUUCAUCAAGAACAAGACUGUUUCUCCACUUACUGUUAUUCCAAUACGAUCACAAUCUUAAAUAUCUUUGGGCUAGAAGGCACUGCAAUAUUAAUUAAAAAUAUAGUCUAAUUAUUUACCCUCGUUGGUUCCUACAAACCUCUACAGUAUAAUCAGUGGACUCCCUUAAGGGGUUUCACGGUAUUUGGGAGUGAAAUAGGGAGGUUUGUGACUCACACUGGCUCACGAGUGUAAUUAAGUAGAACCUACAAUUCGCCUAUAGGUCACCGGAUCAAAUGUAACCUAUCUGGGCAAUGUCCAAAGGCAGGUGAUGAUGUUGACUGACCACUGCUGAGCAGCAUGCGUGAGUGGAAGUUUGAUUUUACUUCCAGGCAUCUCGGAGAACAUUCCGGGGGUUUCUGGAGACAAAGGGAAAGCAAGAGGGUGGCCAAAUAGGUCAUUUUAGACAGUUCUCAGGACAAAACUCCAUAAAGCCACCCGAGAACGGCUCAGCAGGCUGACUGGCAUUCUGUGACAAUCUCUCCCUACUUCUGGCCUAAGUGCUAGCCUAGAGAUGCAGAGAAAUAUUUUCUAGCUGUGAGAGGUGGGGUGUGAGUGCUCUUUGGUGCCUGGGGCUGAAUCAUCAGGGCAGAAUGCCUUCUGGAAGCAUCGCAGAGAGAUGUUUCUAGGCCCAGCAGGGUGGUCAGAUCUGUGUGUAAAACCCUAUAUCCUUGGGCUUACCUGGCAUUUUUUUUUUUAAAGAUUUUAUUUAUUUAUUGGAGAGAGAGAGAGUGAGAGAGAGCAUGAGAGGGGAAAGGGUCAGAGGGAGAAGCAGACUCC